UACGUAGGGUGCGAGCGUUAAUCGGAAUUACUGGGCGUAAAGUGUGCGCAGGCGGCCGAGCAAGUCGAGUGUGAAAGCCCCGAGCUUAACUUGGGAACUGCGCUCGAAACUACUUGGCUAGAGUGUGGCAGAGGGAGGUGGAAUUCCACGUGUAGCGGUGAAAUGCGUAGAGAUGUGGAGGAACACCGAUGGCGAAGGCAGCCCCCUGGGCUAACACUGACGCUCAGGCACGAAAGCGUGGGGAGCAAACAGG
rnacentral:rRNA from 1 species